GACGAACGCUGGCGGCGUGCCUAAUACAUGCAAGUCGCACGGUCUUUUCUAUGGAAGCUUGCUUCCGCUGAGAAGAUAGUGGCGAACGGGUGAGUAACACGUGGGUAACCUGCCCAUAAGAGGGGGAUAACAUCCGGAAACGGGUGCUAAUACCGCAUAGUUUUCUUGAUCGCUUGAUUGAGAAAGGAAAGACGGCCUUUGUGCUGUCGCUUAUGGAUGGACCCGCGGCGUAUUAGUUAGUUGGUGAGGUAACGGCUCACCAAGACGAUGAUACGUAGCCGACCUGAGAGGGUGAUCGGCCACAUUGGGACUGAGACACGGCCCAAACUCCGACGGGAGGCAGCAGUAGGGAAUCUUCCGCAAUGGACGAAAGUCUGACGGAGCAACGCCGCGUGAGUGAAGAAGGUUUUCGGAUCGUAAAACUCUGUUGUCAGAGAAGAACAAGUCGGAGAGUAACUGCUCCGGCCUUGACGGUAUCUGACCAGAAAGCCACGGCUAACUACGUGCCAGCCGCCGCCGUAAUAC
rnacentral:rRNA from 1 species